AUUGAACGCUGGCGGCAGGCCUAACACAUGCAAGUCGAGCGAGCGGCGGACGGGUGAGUAAUGUCUGGGAAACUGCAUGAUGGGGGGGGAUAACUACUGGAAACGGUAGCUAAUACCGCAUACCAUCAGAUGUGCCAAGAUGGGAUUAGCUAGUAGGUGGGGUAACGGCUAACCUCGGCGACGAUCCCUCGCUGGUAUGAGAGGAUGACCAGCCGACCUGGAACUGAGGCACGGGCCUGACUCCUACGUGAGGCAGCAGUGGGUAAUAUUGCACAAUGGGCGCAAGCCUGAUGCAGCCAUGCCGCGUGUGUGACGAAGGCCUUCGGGUUGUAAAGCACUUUCAGCGGGGAGGCGUUACCCGCAGAAGAAGCACCGGCUAACUCCGUGCCAGCAGCCGCGGUAAUAC
rnacentral:rRNA from 1 species